UAUUUCAAAGAUUAAGCCAUGCAUGUCUAAGCAUGAGCUAAAUCAAAGUGAAGCCGCGAAUAGCUCAUUACAAUAGCCGUUGUUUCUUGGAUCCUAACUUUACUUGGAUACCUGUGGUAAUUCUAGAGCUAAUACAUUGCGACUAAGAGCCGACCUCACGGGACGCUUGCAUUUAUUAAAUCAAGACUAACCGGCUUCGGCCGUUACUUGGUGACUCUGAAUAACUGAGCUGAUCGCACGGUCUAGUGCCGGCGACAUAUCUUUCAAGUGUCUACCUUAUCAACUUUCGAUGUUAGUUUAUGUGACUACCAUGGUUGUAACGGAUAACGGAGAAUAAGGGUUCGACUCCGGAGAGGGAGCCUGAGAAACGGCUACCACUUCUAAGGAAGGCAGCAGGCGCGCAACUUACCCAAUCUCAGUACGAGGAGGUAGUGACGAAAAAUAACGAGACAAGGCUCUUUGAGUUUUGUCAUCGGAAUGAGAACGUUUUAAAAGAUCUAUCGAGGAUCUAACAGAGGGCAAGUCUGGUGCCAGCAGCCGCGGUAAUUCCAGCUCUGCUAGUGUAUAUCUAUGCUGCUGCGGUUAAAAAGCUCGUAGUUGGAUCUGCGUGCCAAGGCCUGGUCCGUCCGAUGGGCGUGCACUGGAGCCUGGCACUGAAUGGCUGGUUUUUCUCUUUAUGCCUUUAACCGGGUGUACUGAGUGACUAACAUGUUUACUUUGAAAAAAUUAGAGUGCUUAAAACAAGCGAUUCGCUUGAAUAUUCGUGCAUGGAAUAAUAGAAUAGGACCUUGGUUCUAUUUUGUUGGUUUUCGGAACACAAGGUAAUGAUUAAGAGGGACAGACGGGGGCAUUCAUAUUUCGACGUUAGAGGUGAAAUUCUUGGAUCGUCGAAAGAUGCACUACUGCGAAAGCAUUUGCCAAGAAUGUUUUCAUUAAUCAAGAACGAAAGUUAGAGGUUCGAAGGCGAUCAGAUACCGCCCUAGUUCUAACCGUAAACGAUGCCAACUAGCGAUCUGCUGGUGUUUAUCUAGACCCAGCAGGGAGCUUUCCGGAAACGAAAGUCUUCAGGUUCCGGGGGAAGUAUGGUUGCAAAGCUGAAACUUAAAGGAAUUGACGGAAGGGCACCACCAGGAGUGGAGCCUGCGGCUUAAUUUGACUCAACACGGGAAAACUCACCCGGCCCGGACACCGUAAGGAUUGACAGAUUGAGAGCUCUUUCUUGAUUCGGUGGGUGGUGGUGCAUGGCCGUUCUUAGUUGGUGGAUUGAUUUGUCUGGUUUAUUCCGAUAACGAACGAGACUCCAACCUACUAACUAGUAAACGCGCCCCUAGCGCGUUGUUACUUCUUAAAGGGACAGGCGGUAUUGAGCCGCACGAAAAAGAGCAAUAACAGGUCUGUGAUGCCC
rnacentral:rRNA from 1 species